rnacentral:rRNA from 1 species
UACGUAGGGUGCAAGCGUUGUCCGGAUUUCUUGGGCGUAAAGAGCUCGUAGGCGGUCUGUCGCGUCGAUCGUGAAAACUUGGGGCUUAACCCUGAGCUUGCGGUCGAUACGGGCAUGACUGGAGUUCGGCAGGGGAGACUGGAAUUCCUGGUGUAGCGGUGAAAUGCGCAGAUAUCAGGAGGAACACCGGUGGCGAAGGCGGGUCUCUGGGCAGUAACUGACGCUGAGGAGCGAAAGCGUGGGGAGCGAACAGG